GUUGGUUUCACCUUUAGCUAUGGCCAUGAGUUUGAUUUGGUGCCCAGAUUCACUGGGACGUCAGCUCACAGAGCACUCUCCAUUAGCGGGAAUUGAAAGUCAGGUCCCAGCAUUC
rnacentral:snoRNA from 1 species